GAAGGGGGCUAGCGUUGUUCGGAAUAACUGGGCGUAAAGCGCACGUAGGCGGAUUGUUAAGUUAGGGGUGAAAUCCCAGGGCUCAACCCUGGAACUGCCUCUGAUACUGGCAAUCUAGAGUUCGAGAGAGGUGAGUGGAAUUCCGAGUGUAGAGGUGAAAUUCGUAGAUAUUCGGAGGAACACCAGUGGCGAAGGCGGCUCACUGGCUCGAUACUGACGCUGAGGUGCGAAAGCGUGGGGAGCAAACAGGGAUUAGAUACCCUGGUAGUCCACGCCGUAAACGAUGGAAGCUAGCCCGUCGGGCAGUUUACUGUUCGGUGGCGCAGCUAACGCAUUAAGCUUCCCGCCUGGGGAGUACGGUCGCAAGAUUA
rnacentral:rRNA from 1 species